UACAGAGGUCCCAAGCGUUGUUCGGAUUCACUGGGCGUAAAGGGUGCGUAGGUGGUUAGGUAAGUCCGAUGUGAAAUCUCCAGGCUCAACCUGGAAAUGGCAUUGGAUACUAUUUAGCUUGAGGAGUGGAGGGGGGACUGGAAUUCUCGGUGUAGCAGUGAAAUGCGUAGAUAUCGAGAGGAACACCAGUGGCGAAGGCGAGUCUCUGGGAUGAUGCUGACGCUGAGGCGCGAAAGCCAGGGGAGCAAACGGG
rnacentral:rRNA from 1 species